UACGUAGGGUGCAAGCGUUGUUCGGAAUCACUGGGCGUAAAGGGAGCGCAGGUGGAUAUGUAAGUUAGGAGUUUAAACUUUGGGCUUAACCCAAAAUCUGCUUCUAAAACUGUGUAUCUUGAGUAUGGGAGAGGAUGAUGGAAUUCCAGGUGUAGCGGUGGAAUGCGUAGAUAUCUGGAAGAACACCAGUUGCGAAGGCGGUCAUCUGGCCCAAUACUGACACUCAUGCUCGAAAGCUAGGGGAGCAAACAGG
rnacentral:rRNA from 1 species